rnacentral:rRNA from 1 species
CCUACGGGAGGCAGCAGUGGGGGAUAUUGCACAAUGGGGGAAACCCUGAUGCAGCGACGCCGCGUGGGUGAAGAAGUAUUUCGGUAUGUAAAGCCCUAUCAGCAGGGAAGAAAGAAGACGGUACCUGACUAAGAAGCCCCGGCUAACUACGUGCCAGCAGCCGCGGUAAUACGUAGGGGGCAAGCGUUAUCCGGAAUUACUGGGUGUAAAGGGAGCGUAGACGGUGAUGCAAGUCUGGAGUGAAAGGCGGGGGCCCAACCCCCGGACUGCUCUGGAAACUGUGUAACUUGAUUGCAGGAGAGGUAAGCGGAAUUCCUAGGGUAGCGGUGAAAUGCGUAGAUAUUAGGAGGAACACCAGUGGCGAAGGCGGCUUACUGGACUGUAACUGACGUUGAGGCUCGAAAGCGUGGGGAGCAAACAGGAUUAGAUACCCGAGUAGUC